UAUGUAGCCGGGGCAUAUUGCCCUCCCCGAAUGUGUGCUGCUGCGCCCUCUUCCUCUUGUCCAAAUAUGGAAGACGCUGUGAUGGAGCGCAGCUGGCUCGUUAGGGAGACAGGUAAUCGGCGUUUACAUUUAAAAUCAGGUAGAUCGCUGAGGAGAUGAGAUGCAGGCUGAUGACUCGUGCAGAGGUAUGUCUGACAUUAAUCGUGAGGUGAGUUUAGAAUGUAUUUCUGAUUCCUCCACUGAUUGUUGUAGGAAACAUACUUUAGAGAGUGACGUCAAGAGCGCCGUUUACUGGUUUCACUUUAGAGAAGGGAAAGGGGGUUUCUAUUGUCCAGCCCUCUGGCUUGUUUUAAACCGGGACCUAUGCUGUCUCUGGGUCCUAAACUGUUUUUAGAUUGAGGAGACUAGUGGAAGGGGAGUUUUUCUUUUUUUCUCUCUCUCUCUCCUUUGCUGUAUUCACCAGGAAUUUCUGUGAGUGUGUUUUUGUUGGGGAACACUUGGGUGCAUUUAGUUGUAUUUGUGUUUUCUUUAUUAUUCCUCCCCCAAACAGUGUAAUUUUAUCUAAUUGGGUUUUAAUUAUUUUUCUGCUUUAAGGAUCCCAGGGCCAGCAUAGACUCCCACUUUUAGUGUGGUCACUUGGUAUAAUAAAAUAAAUCGUGACUAUUUUUGCUCAUGAAACAUUUGUGAAUUCAAUAAACUGUUUGUAAUCUGCAGCAGUGCCUCUGUCAAUUUUUACAAACUUAUCUGUGUGAUCUGGUUAAAAAGAGGAUCUAAAGUUGUACCCAAGGUCAC